rnacentral:rRNA from 1 species
CCUACGGGGGGCAGCAGUGGGGAAUAUUGGACAAUGGGGGGAACCCUGAUCCAGCCAUGCCGCGUGUGUGAAGAAGGCCCUCGGGUUGUAAAGCACUUUCAGUGAGGAAGAACGCCUGGUGGUUAAUACCCAUCAGGAAAGACAUCACUCACAGAAGAAGCACCGGCUAACUCCGUGCCAGCAGCCGCGGUAAUACGGAGGGUGCGAGCGUUAAUCAGAAUUACUGGGCGUAAAGCGCGCGUAGGUGGCUUGAUAAGCCGGUUGUGAAAGCCCCGGGCUCAACCUGGGAACGGCAUCCGGAACUGUCAAGCUAGAGUGCAGGAGAGGAAGGUAGAAUUCCCGGUGUAGCGGUGAAAUGCGUAGAGAUCGGGAGGAAUACCAGUGGCGAAGGCGGCCUUCUGGACUGACACUGACACUGAGGUGCGAAAGCGUGGGUAGCAAACAGGAUUAGAUACCCUAGUAGUC